rnacentral:rRNA from 1 species
AGCAGCCGCGGUAAUUCCAGCUCCAAUAGCGUAUAUUAAAGUUGUUGCAGUUAAAAAGCUCGUAGUUGAAUUUCGGGAUCAAUAUAUCGGUCGUGCCAUUGGUACGUACUGGUAUCAUUGGUUUCUCCUUUCUGACGAACCAUGAUGUCAUUAAUUUGGUGUUAUGGGAAGUUAGGACUGUUACUUUGAAAAAAAUUAGAGUGUUUAAAGCAGGCUUUAGCUUGAAUACAUUAGCAUGGAAUAAUGAAAUAGGACGUUCGAACCUAUUUUGUUGGUUUCUUAGGAUCAACGUAAUGAUUAAUAGGGAUAGUUGGGGGCAUUAGUAUUCAAUUGUCAGAGGUGAAAUUCUUGGAUUUAUUGAAGACUAACUACUGCGAAAGCAUUUGCCAAGGAUGUUUUCAUUAAUCAAGAACGAAAGUUAGGGGAGUCGAAGACGAUCAGAUACCGUCGUAGUCUUAACCAUAAACUAUGCCGACUAGGGAUCGGAUGAUGUUAAUUUUUAAUUGUACUCAUUCGGCGC